GCUUUAUGAUGUAUUUAUAUGAAUUUAAAGCAAAGGUCAAAAUCUAGAACGUCAUAUUAACCUAUGACCUUGACCUCAAUUUCAAGUUCACAAACCAAGGACCUUAAAUCAAAAGACCCAAGGUCUUUAAUAUGUUUGGUUUAUUAGUAAUAUCACUUUACGCGUAAUUCUAAAUGUAAGAUGGGCAAAAACUCCUAUUUAUUGUCUGCGCACCCUUUCAAUCAAAAUAUACAAGUAAGGACAUGUCGCAACUAACAAUUUAUGAAAAAUUAUUUGUCGAUAUGUCAUAAGGUAUUUGAAAAUAAAUGAAAAUAAGCCAAAAUCAAAAUUUAGAAUAUGACCUUGACCUUUGACCUUGACCUCAUUUUUAUUAUUUUCGACCAAGGACCCCAAAUCUAAAGACCCUAUGUCUUUAUCACUUAUGGUUUACCAUUUAGAAAUGCAUAUCACUUAAUUUAAGGGAAAAGGGGGAAUAACUCUCAUAUGGAGUCUCCGUAAAGCUUCGGUCCAAAUGAAUAUCCUAAUCCUGAAGAUGUAACGAGCAAUUUGGUAAAAUAAAUUUGUCGUAAUCUUUAACGGUUGCGAAGGAGUAGUGGCCACAAGAAAAACAGUGUUUGGGGAGAUAACUCUUACAACGUAAAGUAUUUUGUUACGCAGUUGUAAAUUUUUUAAAGCGUAUAAACUAUACGAUAUCAUAUUCCAAAUAUCUAAGCGACAUCUUUUGAAACAUCAAUAAUACGCAAGAAAAAAAAUUAGGCGGAAAAAAAAAAAAAAAAAUAAUAAUAAUAAUAAUCAGAACAAAUUCAAUAGGUCUUUCCACGGAAAAGUGGAAAGACCUAAUAAUCAGAACAAAUUCAA
rnacentral:lncRNA from 1 species